UAACACGUAGGAACCUGCCAUACCGGAGGGGAAUAACGGUGGGAAACCAUCGCUAAUGCCGCGUACGCUCUUUGUGGGGGACUGCGAAGAGGAGAGGCACUGGGGAACUGGUGCUGCCGGAUGGGGGGCCUGCGACCCAUUAGGCUGGUUGGUGGGGUAACGGCCUACCAAGGCGAUGAUGGGUAGCCGGUCUGAGAGGAUGAUCGGCCACACUGGGACUGAGAGACGGCCCAG
rnacentral:rRNA from 1 species